GGAGGAGUGGCCGAGCGGUCUAAGGCAGCGGACUUGAAAUCCGCCGUGUCCGCAAGGGCACCGAGGGUUCGAAUCCCUCCUCCUCCGCCA
rnacentral:tRNA from 1 species